rnacentral:rRNA from 1 species
UACGGAAGGCAGCAGUGGGGAAUAUUGCACAAUGGGCGAAAGCCUGAUGCAGCUAUGCCGCGUGUAUGAAGAAGGCCUUAGGGUUGUAAAGUACUUUCAUCGGGGAGGAAAAACAAAACUAAUAAUUUUAUUUCUUGACGUUACCCGAAAAAGAAGCACCGGCUAACUCCGUGCCAGCAGCCGCGGUAAUACGGAGGGUGCUAGCGUUAAUCAGAAUUACUGGGCGUAAAGAGCACGUAGGUGGUUUUUUUAAGUCAGAUGUGAAAUCCCUGGGCUUAACCUAGGAACUGCAUUUUGAAACUGAAAUACUAGAGUAUCGUAGAGGGAGGUAGAAUUCUAGGUGUAGCGGUGAAAUGCGUAGAUAUCUGGAGGAAUACCUGUGGCGAAAGCGGCCUCCUAAACGAAUACUGACACUGAGGUGCAAAAGCGUGGGGAGCAAACAGGGAUUAGAUACC